rnacentral:rRNA from 1 species
AGAGCUUGAUCCUGGCUCAGGACGAACGCUGGCGGCACGCUUAACACAUGCAAGUCGAACGAGAGAAGAGGAGCUUGCUUUUCUGAUCUAGUGGCGGACGGGUGAGUAACACGUGAGCAACCUGCCUUUCAGAGGGGGAUACCGAUUGGAAAUGAUCGUUAAUACCGCAUAACAUAAUUGAACCGCAUGAUUUGAUUAUCAAAGAUUUAUCGCUGAAAGAUGAGCUCGCGUCUGAUUAGCUAGUUGGUAAGGUAACGGCUUACCAAGGCGACGAUCAGUAGCCGGACUGAGAGGUUGAUCGGCCACAUUGGGACUGAGACACGGCCCAGACUCCUACGGGAGGCAGCAGUGGGGAAUAUUGCACAAUGGAGGAAACUCUGAUGCAGCGAUGCCGCGUGAGGGAAGAAGGUUUUAGGAUUGUAAACCUCUGUCUUCAGGGACGAAAAAAGACGGUACCUGAGGAGGAAGCUCCGGCUAACUACGUGCCAGCAGCCGCGGUAAUACGUAGGGAGCGAGCGUUGUCCGGAAUUACUGGGUGUAAAGGGAGCGUAGGCGGGAUCGCAAGUCAGAUGUGAAACCUAUGGGCUUAACCCAUAAACUGCAUUUGAAACUGUGGUUCUUGAGUGAAGUAGAGGUAAGCGGAAUUCCUAGUGUAGCGGUGAAAUGCGUAGAUAUUAGGAGGAACAUCAGUGGCGAAGGCGGCUUACUGGGCUUUAACUGACGCUGAGGCUCGAAAGCGUGGGGAGCAAACAGGAUUAGAUACCCUGGUAGUCCACGCCGUAAACGAUGAUUACUAGGUGUGGGGGGACUGACCCCUUCCGUGCCGCAGCAAACGCAAUAAGUAAUCCACCUGGGGAGUACGACCGCAAGGUUGAAACUCAAAGGAAUUGACGGGGGCCCGCACAAGCAGUGGAGUAUGUGGAUUAAUUCGAAGCAACGCGAAGAACCUUACCAGGUCUUGACAUCGUAUGCAUAGCUCAGAGAUGAGUGAAAUCUCUUCGGAGACAUAUAGACAGGUGGUGCAUGGUUGUCGUCAGCUCGUGUCGUGAGAUGUUGGGUUAAGUCCCGCAACGAGCGCAACCCUUACUGUUAGUUGCUACGCAAGAGCACUCUAGCAGGACUGCCGUUGACAAAACGGAGGAAGGUGGGGAUGACGUCAAAUCAUCAUGCCCCUUAUGACCUGGGCCUCACACGUACUACAAUGGCUGUCAACAGAGGGAAGCAAAGCCGCGAGGUGGAGCGAACCCCUAAAAGCAGUCUUAGUUCGGAUUGUAGGCUGCAACCCGCCUACAUGAAGUCGGAAUUGCUAGUAAUCGCAGAUCAGCAUGCUGCGGUGAAUACGUUCCCGGGCCUUGUACACACCGCCCGUCACGCCAUGGGAGUCGGUAACACCCGAAGCCUGUAGUCUAACCGCAAGGAGGACGCAGUCGAAGGUGGGAUUGAUGACUGGGGUGAAGUCGUAACAAGGUA